rnacentral:rRNA from 1 species
CUUUGACCUCGGAUCAGGUAGGGAUACCCGCUGAACUUAAGCAUAUCAAUAAGCGGAGGACAAGAAACCAACAGGGAUUGCCCCAGUAACGGCGAGUGAAGCGGCAACAGCUCAAAUUUGAAAUCUGGCUCUUUUAAAGUCC